rnacentral:rRNA from 1 species
GGGGGUGCCCGCGAGGGGAGCCCUAGCACAGGUGCUGCAUGGCCGUCGUCAGCUCGUGCCGUGAGGUGUUGGGUUAAGUCCCGCAACGAGCGCAACCCCCGCCGUUAGUUGCCAGCGGUUCGGCCGGGCACUCUAACGGGACUGCCCGCGAAAGCGGGAGGAAGGAGGGGACGACGUCUGGUCAGCAUGGCCCUUACGGCCUGGGCGACACACGUGCUACAAUGCCCACUACAAAGCGAUGCCACCCGGCAACGGGGAGCUAAUCGCAAAAAGGUGGGCCCAGUUCGGAUUGGGGUCUGCAACCCGACCCCAUGAAGCCGGAAUCGCUAGUAAUCGCGGAUCAGCCAUGCCGCGGUGAAUACGUUCCCGGGCCUU